AGAGAAGGGAGAAGACACACAGCUUGUGAUGACACUAUCCCUUUAAGGCAAUCUGUGUAGAGUGUAUAAUUCAUAUUAUAUUGCUAUUUUUGGUUUAGAUGCCAAACUGAAAUAGAAGCAACAUGUUGGUGUUAACUUUCAUAACAAUAAUUGGACUGUCGAGUGGUGCCGUAUAUAUAACUCCAGUACCAUUAGAAUGGGUACCUGUCACCAAUGGAGUUAAUCCAUCGAAUUCUGUACACGUGGGCUCGAAGGAGAGUUUUUGCGAGGUUGAUGAUCCGAAGGGACUGAUACCUGGUGUUACAAAUAAUGGAAAAUGUGAAUAUGAAGUUGAUGGUGAGGUUAAAUCAUCAGCCUCUUACAACGUGCUGGUACGUCCAGAAGGUGUACAUACCGGAUGGAAGUACAGUAAUGGUAAUCCUCCAGUUGGGGCCGUGAAGUGCCAUGAAGGACAACAAUGUUACCUCGGUAUGAGCAUUUAUAAUGACGGACUCUGUGAAGAACUUCCGGGAAAGAUAUUUACAGACAAGAAAGCUAUGAUCAUGACAUCAGGCGACAAAGUAUAUAAGUGUCCCUCUAAAUUAUAUUUAGUUGAAAAAAUGAUACGAGCAUAAUAACAUUAAGAAUUAAUCUGCAGUAUUUUAAUCUGUUGAAAUUAAAUAAAAAAUAAUAUCCACAA